rnacentral:rRNA from 1 species
AUUGAACGCUGGCGGCAGGCCUAACACAUGCAAGUCGAGCGGUAACAGAUCCAGCUUGCUGGAUGCUGACGAGCGGCGGACGGGUGAGUAAUGCAUAGGAAUCUGCCCGAUAGUGGGGGAUAACCUGGGGAAACCCAGGCUAAUACCGCAUACGUCCUACGGGAGAAAGGGGGCUCCGGCUCCCGCUAUGGGAUGAGCCUAUGUCGGAUUAGCUAGUUGGUGAGGUAACGGCUCACCAAGGCCACGAUCCGUAGCUGGUCUGAGAGGAUGAUCAGCCACAUCGGGACUGAGACACGGCCCGA